rnacentral:rRNA from 1 species
UACGUAGGGCGCAAGCGUUGUCCGGAAUUAUUGGGCGUAAAGAGCUCGUAGGUGGCUUGUCACGUCGGGGUGUGAAAACUGGGGGCUCAACCCCCAGCCUGCAGUGGGUACGGGCAGACUAGAGUGCGGUAGGGGAGAUUGGAAUUCCUGGUGUAGCGGUGGAAUGCGCAGAUAUCAGGAGGAACACCGAUGGCGAAGGCAGAUCUCUGGGCCGUAACUGACACUGAGGCGCGAAAGCGUGGGGAGCGAACAGG